rnacentral:tRNA from 1 species
AUAGCUCAAGUGGUAGAGUGCUUGCUUAGCAUGCAUGAGGUCCUGGGUUCAAUCCCCAGU